GACGAACGCUGGCGGCGUGCCUAAUACAUGCAAGUCGAACGCACAGUUUAUACCGUAGCUUGCUACACCAUACACUGUGAGUUGCGAACGGGUGAGUAACGCGUAGGUAACCUGCCUGGUAGCGGGGGAUAACUAUUGGAAACGAUAGCUAAUACCGCAUAAUAUUAAUUAUUGCAUGAUAAUUGAUUGAAAGAUGCAAUUGCAUCACUACCAGAUGGACCUGCGUUGUAUUAGCUAGUAGGUGAGGUAACGGCUCACCUAGGCGGCGAUACAUAGCCGAACGGCGAGGGCGAGCAGCCAGACUGAGACUGAGACACGGCACAGUCGCCCACGGGAGGCGGCAGUAGGGAAUCGUCGGCAAUGGACGAAAGUCUGACCGAGCAACGCCGCGUGAGUGAAGAAGGUUCUCGGAUCGUAAAGAUCUGUUGUAAGAGGAGAACGGGUGUGAGAGGGGAAAGUUCACGCUGUGACGGUAUCUUACCAGAAAGGAACGGCUAACUACGUG
rnacentral:rRNA from 1 species